AUUGAACGCUGGCGGCAGGCUUAACACAUGCAAGUCGAGCGAGCGGCGGACGGGUGAGUAACGUCUGGGAAACUGCCUGAUGGAGGGGGAUAACUACUGGAAACGGUAGCUAAUACCGCAUACCAUCAGAUGUGCCCAGAUGGGAUUGGCUAGUAGGUGGGGUAAUGGCUCACCUAGGCGCCGAGCCCUAGCUGGUCUGAGAGGAUGACCGGCCACGCUGGAGCUGACGCAGGGUCCACACACGGACGGUAGUCAGCGGUGGCGAAUGUUGCACAAUGGGGGCAAGCCUGAUGCAGACAUGCCACGUAUGUGAAGAGGGCCUUCGGGUUGUAAAGCACUUUCAGCGAGGAGGCGUUACUCUCAGAAGAGGCACCGGCGAACUCCGUGCCAGCAGCCGCGGUAAUAC
rnacentral:rRNA from 1 species